rnacentral:rRNA from 1 species
GCUCAGGAUGAACGCUAGCUACAGGCUUAACACAUGCAAGUCGAGGGGUAGCAGGGUAGCAAUACCGCUGACGACCGGCGCACGGGUGAGUAACACGUAUCCAACCUUCCCAUAACUCGGGGAUAGCCUUUCGAAAGAAAGAUUAAUACCCGAUAGUACUUUAUUAAGGCAUCUUAAGAAAGUUAAAGAUUUGUUGGUUAUGGAUGGGGAUGCGUUCCAUUAGAUAGUUGGUGAGGUAACGGCUCACCAAGUCUUCGAUGGAUAGGGGUUCUGAGAGGAAGGUCCCCCACAUUGGUACUGAGACACGGACCAAACUCCUACGGGAGGCAGCAGUGAGGAAUAUUGGUCAAUGGGCGAGAGCCUGAACCAGCCAAGUAGCG